GACGAACCGAGCGAACGUUGUUCGGAAUCACUGGGCUUAAAGGGCGCGUAGGCGGGUGCUCAAGUCCGGGGUGAAAUCCUCCAGCUCAACUGGAGAACUGCCUCGGAUACUGGGUGCCUCGAGGGUGGUAGGGGUAUGCGGAACUAUCGGUGGAGCGGUGAAAUGCGUUGAUAUCGAUAGGAACUCCGGUGGCGAAGGCGGCGAUACUGGACCACAUCUGACGCUGAGGCGCGAAAGCCAGGGAGCAAACGGG
rnacentral:rRNA from 1 species